GGGAUAGCCGCCCGAAAGGACGGGUAAUACCGGAUACCCCCGGGCGCCGCAUGGCGCCCGGGCUAAAGCCCCGACGGGAGGGGAUGGCUCCGCGGCCCAUCAGGUAGACGGCGGGGUGACGGCCCACCGUGCCGACAACGGGUAGCCGGGUUGAGAGGCCGACCGGCCAGAUUGGGACUGAGACACGGCCCAGACUCCUACGGGAGGCAGCAGUGGGGAAUCUUGCGCAAUGGGGGGAACCCUGACGCAGCGACGCCGCGUGCGGGACGGAGGCCUUCGGGUCGUAAACCGCUUUCAGCAGGGAAGAGUCAAGACUGUACCUGCAGAAGAAGCCCCGGCUAACUACGUGCCAGCAGCCGCGGUAAUACGUAGGGGGCGAGCGUUAUCCGGAUUCAUUGGGCGUAAAGCGCGCGUAGGCGGCCCGGCAGGCCGGGGGUCGAAGCGGGGGGCUCAACCCCCCGAAGCCCCCGGAACCUCCGCGGCUUGGGUCCGGUAGGGGAGGGUGGAACACCCGGUGUAGCGGUGGAAUGCGCAGAUAUCGGGUGGAACACCGGUGGCGAAGGCGGCCCUCUGGGCCGAGACCGACGCUGAGGCGCGAAAGCUGGGGGAGCGAACAGGAUUAGAUACCCUGGUAGUCCCAGCCGUAAACGAUGGACGCUAGGUGUGGGGGGACGAUCCCCCCGUGCCGCAG
rnacentral:rRNA from 1 species